UACGUAGGGUGCGAGCGUUGUCCGGAAUUACUGGGCGUAAAGGGCUCGUAGGUGGCCAACUAAGUCAGACGUGAAAUCCCUCGGCUUAACCGGGGAACUGCGUCUGAUACUGGAUGGCUUGAGUUCGGGAGAGGGAUGCGGAAUUCCAGGUGUAGCGGUGAAAUGCGUAGAUAUCAAGAGGAACACCUGCGGCGAAGGCGGGUUGCUGGGCUGACACUGACGCUGGGGCGCGAAAGCUAGGGGAGCGAACGGG
rnacentral:rRNA from 1 species